AGAAGCGUGCGGAGGUGAGCUACAAAUACGUGUGCAAGAGAACAGCCAUGCACCUGCCAGUGCUGCAUGAGGGGGCGGGCAGCAGGCGGGACGCAUCCCCCGGGGAGG